rnacentral:rRNA from 1 species
AGUGAACGCUGGCGGUAGGCCUAACACAUGCAAGUCGAACGGCAGCACAGUAAGAGCUUGCUCUUACGGGUGGCGAGUGGCGGACGGGUGAGGAAUACAUCGGAAUCUACUUUUUCGUGGGGGAUAACGUAGGGAAACUUACGCUAAUACCGCAUACGACCUACGGGCGAAAGCAGGGGAUCUUCGGACCUUGCGCGAUUGAAUGAGCCGAUGUCGGAUUAGCUAGUUGGCGGGGUAAAGGCCCACCAAGGCGACGAUCCGUAGCUGGUCUGAGAGGAUGAUCAGCCACACUGGAACUGAGACACGGUCCAGACUCCUACGGGAGGCAGCAGUGGGGAAUAUUGGGCAAUGGGCGCAAGCCUGAUCCAGCCAUACCGCGUGAGUGAAGAAGGCCUUCGGGUUGUAAAGCCCUUUUGUUGGGAAAGAAAAGCAGCAGGUUAAUACCCCGCUGUUCUGACGGUACCCAAAGAAUAAGCACCGGCUAACUUCGUG